rnacentral:rRNA from 1 species
GAUCCUGGCUCAGUGCGAACGUUAGCGGCGGGCCUAACACAUGCAAGUCGAACGCGAAAGGUCUUCGGACUGAGUAGAGUGGCGCACGGGUGAGUAACACGUAGGUAAUCUACCCUUUGGCGGGGGAUAACGUUCCGAAAGGAGCGCUAAUACCGCAUAAGACCACGGAGUCUCCGGACGCUGUGGGAAAAGGUGGCCUCUUCUUGAAAGCUACCACCGAAGGAUGAGCCUGCGUCCCAUCAGCUAGUUGGUAAGGUAAUGGCUUACCAAGGCGAAGACGGGUAGCUGGUUUGAGAGAAUGAUCAGCCACACUGGCACUGGAACACGGGCCAGACUCCUACGGGAGGCAGCAGUGAGGAAUAUUGGGCAAUGGGCGAAAGCCUGACCCAGCCACGCCGCGUGAGUGAUGAAGGCCCUCGGGUCGUAAAGCUCUGUGGAGAGGGACGAAAACCCUGGUUUCAAAUAGGCUCCAGGCUUGACGGUACCUCUUUAGCAAGCACCGGCUAACUCUGUG